rnacentral:snRNA from 1 species
CUCCUCCUCCAUGGAGACCC